AUUUUCUUUGGCAGCACAUACUACAAUUGGAAUGAUACAGAAAAGAAUAGUAUGGCCUUUGUACAGGGAUGAUAUGCAAAUUCAUGAAGCAGUCCAUAUUUUU
rfam:Myotis brandtii contig153635, whole genome shotgun sequence.